rnacentral:rRNA from 1 species
UCUUUAAACUUAAAAAAUUUGGCGGUAUUUUAGUCUAUUCAGAGGAACCUGUUUUAUGAUCGAUAAUCCACGUUGGACCUUACUUUAAUUUAUAAAUUAGUUUAUAUACCGUCGUUAUAAAAAAUUUUAUAAGAAUAAUAAUUUUUAAAAUUUUAUNUCAGAUCAAGGUGUAGCUUAUAUUAAAGAAAAUAAUGGGUUACAAUAAAAUUAUUUAUAUGAAUAUAAAAAUGAAAAAUUUAUUGAAAGAGGAUUUGAAAGUAAAAUUAAAUAGAUAAUUAAUUUGAUUUGAGCUAUAAAAUA